GCGCUCACUUUGGCAGCAUAUAUAUCAAAAUCGGAGUGAUACAGAGAAGAUUUAGCAUGGCCCCUACACAAGGAUGACAUGCAAAUUCAUGAAGCAUUCCAUAUUUUU
ensembl:snRNA U6 U6 spliceosomal RNA